rfam:Candidatus Burkholderia humilis strain TZHbot5 BHTMctg71, whole genome shotgun sequence.
UUAUCGGUGCAAAUUCGACCCGGCUAACUCUCGCUCCGGCCGGAAGCACAAGGAGCGGUCCAGGAGGCAACGAGUGGGCUGAAGCACUUCUUGAGUCCAAUCGUUA